rnacentral:rRNA from 1 species
GAUGAACGCUGGCGGCGUGCCUAAUACAUGCAAGUCGAGCGAACAGACGCGGCGCUUGCUCCUCUGACGUUAGCGGCGGACGGGUGAGUAACACGUGGAUACCCUACCUAUAAGACUGGUAUAACUUCGGGACACCGGCGCUAAUACCGGAUGAUAUAUUGCACCGCGUGGUUCAAUAGUGAGAUACGGUGUUGCUGUCUCGUAUAGAUGCAUCCCGGCGGCAUUGGCUAGUUGUUAAGGUAACGGCUUACCACGGCGACGAUGCGUAGCCGACCGGAGAGGCUGAUCGCCCGCAUGGGAAGGGAGACACGGUCCAGACGCCUAAGGGAGGGAGCAGUAGGGAAUGUGCGGCAAUGGGCGAAAGCCUGACGGAGCAACGGGGCGUGAGUGAUGAAGGUCUUCGGAGCGGGAAGCUCGGUUACUAGGGAAGAACAAAUGUGUAAGGAACCAUGCAGGGCUUGACGGUACCGAAUAAGAAAGCAACGGCUAACUACGUG